CACCUGGCAAUUCAAGUGAUACAAAACUACGUUAAUUCCUACAGUGUAGACCCACGCCCCCCCCCCCCGUCAGAAGGCGCCCAAAAGGCGCACCUGGCAAUUCAAGUGGUAUGAAACCGCAUUCAUUCCUACAGUGCAGACCCACUCUGACAGAGGGCGCCCAAAGGAUCAAGGAGGCGGCGCGCCUGGCAGUUUCAAGGGGUCUAGGUUAUCAUCAGUUUGCCGGCUAUGAAAGCGUGCUGCAGCAGAAAGACUGGCUUUGUGUUUUGAAACCCAGUUGUCACCUCUGCCUUGGACUUAGGAAUGGGCAACUUGGGGCCAUCCAGAUGUUUUUGACCUUCAGCUUUUCUCAGUCUAUACAGCAGGCAUGUGCAAACUUCAGCCCUUCAGGUGUUUUGGACCAACUCUCCCAUUCCAUCAUUCAAGGAACCAAGUCAGUCACAAUGAAAUGAAAUCCAAAGGCACACUAGCCAUGAUGCAGACUUACCUGGCGCUUUGUACUCUCUGAAGGUGUCGCAAACCAAAGGGAAAAGCAGCACUAAAGGAGACUCAGGGCCUUCUUCUUCUCCCAGCAAAUAGCACUCCUUUACGUGUUUUUCUGUUUCAUCUCUUGGAACAUUUUUGGGGAAUGGGAUUCCUUGUUUUAAGAAGUAAUCUGAGGCCUUUGACAGGGGCUAUAUUGAGGUUGAGUAAAUAUAAAAACAGGAUGUUAGAAGUUGAUCCUUUCACAAAAGGAAUGAAGCCAGAAUCAAACUUGUACCCACUAUGUAGCUCAUACUUCAAAUAAGGUCCAUCUUUAUCUUACUUUGCUUGCCUCAUUCAUAGCUCCAAGAACUGAGUCCCACUGAUAUAUUCCAUAAGCACUGCAGAGUUUGUGCCUUGUCCAUAACUAGGUGUGCAAUUUAAGCAAAUCUCUCAUAAUGCCUAAGGCCUUCGAAAUUUUGUCUCAAUGUGGCUUAUAUACCAUAGUUAUAGAAAUUCUAUAGGCAUCACAGGAUGAACUAUUUUUGCUAUUAAUCAUCUUUUUUAAAAGGUGAAACGUGCCCCUAGCAUUGAUCGAGUCAUGGAAAUAAUGUUUGGAAACUUCCUAGAAAGACUUGUUGCCCUAUCUUACAACAUUGAUUUUGUCUGAUCUUUAUUUGAUUUCUGGAAAAUUUAUUUUUGUUCUUAGUGGAAUGCGUGAGUAUCUUUGAUGCUUAAUUUGUAAUUUCUAAUCAGUGAUUGCAGUAGCCAAAGCAAGGGAUUUUUUCUUCAUAGUAGAAAGGACUGCCAAUAAAGUUUUCAACUGUACAGGAGACUUUGGCUUCCCUAAUACCAUUUUUGUAGACAGGAUGUGAUAACACGAAAUAAUGAUAUUUUCCUGUGCAUUCAUGUAUGUAUUUUAUUUUGUGUUAUUGUAAUUGCCUGGGCUUGGCCCCAUGUUAGCCGCCCCAAGUCCCUUCGGGGAGAUGGAGGCGGGGUACAAAAAUAAAGUUGUUGUUGUUGUUGUUGUUGUUAUAAAUAAAAAUAGUGGAAUAUUCUUUUCUUCUCACUUUCUUCACUUUAAACAGUUGUUAUCUCACUUUCAUCAGACAGGAAAUAGUCAGCAAAGACAGACAGCAUUUGUCAUUUUCUUCCUCUCAUAGCCCUCAAGUUGCUGAUGGGAGAGGAGGAAGCAGCUGCACAAAGAAGAUUUCAACGGAAGAGAUGGCAUAAGGAACCAGACAUCCAUAAGACUCAAUGAAAAUACACUACUCCAGAUUCCUGUGAUGUGCAAGAAAAGAAAUAGGAGUAAUUCAUGAAGCCUUACGCAUUUUGACUAAGGUAAUAAUAACAACAACAAUAACAAUAAUGAUGAUCAAUUUUGGUUCUCUGUUAGUUCAUCAUGUUGAGCCCCCAAGAAAUUAUUGGAGAAUAUCACUUUCCGAUUCUCCAGAGAAUAUUCAGUAAAGUGGUUCUCACAGAACAGUACCAGACCUACAUUAAACCCACUCCGAAGCGGGUUUAAAUCCGCACACUCCGGGCAAACAAACAGGUUUUCCCUUGAAUUGUCCCCAUUGCAGAAUGGUAGUUACUGUGCUGGAAUGGGGUGACCACAACUCCCCCCAAACCUUAAAAAUAAAAAACCCUUACCGGGCUGCCAUUAGGGUUCUCUGGAGCUUCCUGGAAUGCACCAAUGACACGUGAGGAGGCAGGGGCCAUUAGCAAUUUGGUUAAGGUUUUCUUUCGUAAAGCUUUUGGAGGUGGGUGAGAAAGGGCAGGCACCAUCUUGCAUCCAGGAGCCCAAAAGAUGCAAGAUGGAUGUGUGGACUGACCUCUGGGUAGUCACGAGACCAUAGCCCCUUAGAACCACGCCUUUCAGAAAGGCCCGUAUCUAAUGGGCUAUCACAUUAAUUUGGGACAAAGCAGGGUUUUCCUGCUUUGUCUCAAAUUAAUUUGCUUUUACUGGAGGCGUCCAAAUGAGAGGUGUGAGAGCUUACGCAUUUUAGGCCCUGUAUGGAUUGGCCCACAGUUUUGCUAUCAGCUAAUGAAGUGGAGAAUAUCCGCUAGAUAGUUCUCUUGGUUUUGCAAAGACUUUCCCAUCACAUUUGCAUAAACACAUGACACCUUCUGUUAGGAAAUUGAGAUAGAUUUAUCGUUAUAAAAUAAUUUGUACUGAGGUCUAUGCAGCAUAUUUAGCAAAAUUCUGAAUUGAUUCAGGGCAAUGUGUAGAAGAUUCAGAUCAGAUUACAUUGGCCCUUUAUAUUUCUAAAGCAAAACAGAUGGUCUGGAGUUUUUGGAACAUUCUUGAUAUUUUGAUGUCAAAAAUAAGUAAGGUCCCAUUUACACUGUUAUAUAACAUCCAGAUUAUUUGCUUUGAACUGGAUUAUAUGGCAAUGUAGACUCAUAUAAUCCAAUUCAAAGCAGAUAAUGUGGAUUAACUGUUUUGAUAAUCUGGAUUAUAUGGCAAUGUAGAAGAGACCUAAAACAAAUCUAGAAAGAAUUAUUCCAACAUGCCAGUUUAAGAAAAAUGUCAAGAUGGUGGAGGAGAAGGUCUUUAUGUACGUACAAUUCUAACAUGCGUUUUAGAGCAGAAUAUCAUCUUAAUUCAAUAAGCAUAGUAUUUGGGAAGAGUUAGUGCUAGUUAUAUAAUCAGUUAUCUCCAGUACCUCUUCGUUCAUUUACUAGAUUCCAUUGUUAGUAGCAGAUUAGUGAGAAAUGUGGUGAGGAUUUGAGAAAUGUGCUGAUGGGCACAUAAAUUUGCUCUCUUUGAGGGCCCUUCUACACUGCCAUAUAAUCCACAUUAUCAAAGCAGUUAAAUCACAUUGUCUGCUUUGAACUGGGUUAUAUUAGUCUACACUGCUAUAUAAUCCAAUUCAAAGCAGAUAAUCCAGAUUUUAUAUGGCAGUGCAGAAGAGGUCUGAAUCAGUGGGAUUUAUAUAAUUUCGGAGUUUAAUUUGCCUAGUUUAUUUUAAUUUGGUUGUAGUCUAGCUAGGACUAAAAACUGGACU